GAUGAACGCUGGCGGCGUGCCUAAUACAUGCAAGUCGAGCGAACAGACGAGGAGCUUGCUCCUCUGACGUUAGCGGCGGACGGGUGAGUAACACGUGGAUAACCUACCUAUAAGACGGGGAUAACUUCGGGAAACCGGAGCUAAUACCGGAUAAUAUAUUGAACCGCAUGGUUCAAUAGUGAAAGACGGUUUUGCGGUCACGUAUAGAUGGAUCCGCGCCGCAUUAGCUAGUUGGGAAGGUAACGGCUUACCAAGGCAAGGAGGCGUAGCCGACCUGAGAGGGUGAUCGGCCACAUUAGAACGUGGACACGGUCCAGACUCCUACGGGAGGCCGCAGUAGGGAAUCGUCCGCAAUGGUCGAAAGCCUGACGGAGCAACGCCGCGUGAGUGAUGAAGGUCUUCGGAUCGUAAAACUCUGUUAUUAGGGAAGAACAAAUGUGUAAGUAACUAUGCACGUCUUGACGGUACCGAAUCAGAAAGCCACGGCUAACUACGUG
rnacentral:rRNA from 1 species